UACGUAGGGGGCAAGCGUUAUCCGGAUUUACUGGGUGUAAAGGGAGCGUAGACGGCUGUGCAAGCCAGAUGUGAAAGCCCGGGGCUCAACCCCGGGACUGCAUUUGGAACUGCGUGGCUUGAGUGUCGGAGGGGCAGGCGGAAUUCCUAGUGUAGCGGUGAAAUGCGUAGAUAUUAGGAGGAACACCAGUGGCGAAGGCGGCCUGCUGGACGAUGACUGACGUUGAGGCUCGAAAGCGUGGGGAGCAAACAGG
rnacentral:rRNA from 1 species